AGUGAACGCUGGCGGUAGGCCUAACACAUGCAAGUCGAACGGCAGCACCGUAAGAGCUUGCUCUUACGGGUGGCGAGUGGCGGACGGGUGAGGAAUACAUCGGAAUCUACUUUUUCGUGGGGGAUAACGUAGGGAAACUUACGCUAAUACCGCAUACGACCUACGGGUGAAAGCAGGGGAUCUUCGGACCUUGCGCGAUUGAAUGAGCCGAUGUCGGAUUAGCUAGUUGGCGGGGUAAAGGCCCACCAAGGCGACGAUCCGUAGCUGGUCUGAGAGGAUGAUCAGCCACACUGGAACUGAGACACGGUCCAGACUCCUACGGGAGGCAGCAGUGGGGAAUAUUGGACAAUGGGCGAAAGCCUGAUCCAGCCAUACCGCGUGGGUGAAGAAGGCCUUCGGGUUGUAAAGCCCUUUUGUUGGGAAAGAAAAGCAGCAGGUUAAUACCCCGCUGUUCUGACGGUACCCAAAGAAUAAGCACCGGCUAACUUCGUG
rnacentral:rRNA from 1 species